rnacentral:rRNA from 1 species
CUGGCGGCAGGCCUAACACAUGCAAGUCGAGCGGCAGCGGAAAGUAGCUUGCUACUUUGCCGGCGAGCGGCGGACGGGUGAGUAAUGUCUGGGGAUCUGCCUGAUGGAGGGGGAUAACUACUGGAAACGGUAGCUAAUACCGCAUAACCUCGCAAGAGCAAAGUGGGGGACCUUCGGGCCUCACGCCAUCGGAUGAACCCAGAUGGGAUUAGCUAGUAGGUGGGGUAAUGGCUCACCUAGGCGACGAUCCCUAGCUGGUCUGAGAGGAUGACCAGCCACACUGGAACUGAGACACGGUCCAGACUCCUACGGGAGGCAGCAGUGGGGAAUAUUGCACAAUGGGCGCAAGCCUGAUGCAGCCAUGCCGCGUGUGUGAAGAAGGCCUUCGGGUUGUAAAGCACUUUCAGCGAGGAGGAAGGGUUAAGUGUUAAUAGCACUGAACAUUGACGUUACUCGCAGAAGAAGCACCGGCUAACUCCG